AGACGGAGGGCGCAAGCGUUGUUCGGAAUCACUGGGCAUAAAGAGUACGUAGGCGGUCUGCUAAGUCAGAUGUGAAAGCCCUGGGCUUAACCCGGGAACUGCAUUUGAUACUGGCAGACUUGAGGACAGCAGGGGUGAGUGGAACUUCAGGUGGAACGGUGAAAUGUGUAGAUAUCUGAAGGAACACCGGUGGCGAAAGCGGCUCACUGGGCUGUCUCUGACGCUGAGGUACGAAAGCUAGGGUAGCGAACGGGAUUAGAAACCCCUGUAGUCC
rnacentral:rRNA from 1 species